rnacentral:rRNA from 1 species
UACGAGGGGGGCGAGCGUUGUUCGGAAUUAUUGGGCGUAAAGGGUGCGUAGGCGGUUCCGCAAGUCCUGUGUGAAAUCUUCGGGCUCAACUCGAAGUCUGCACGGGAAACUGCGGGGCUUGAGUGUGGGAGAGGUGAGUGGAAUUCCCGGUGUAGCGGUGAAAUGCGUAGAUAUCUGGAGGAACACCGGUGGCGAAGGCGGCGUCCUGGACCAACACUGACACUGAUGAGCGAAAGCCAGGGGAGCAAACGGG